rnacentral:rRNA from 1 species
GCGGUCUCCUCCCAAAGCGUAACGGAGGAGCACGAAGGUUAGCUAAUCCUGGUCGGACAUCAGGAGGUUAGUGCAAUGGCAUAAGCUAGCUUGACUGCGAGCGUGACGGCGCGAGCAGGUGCGAAAGCAGGUCAUAGUGAUCCGGUGGUUCUGAAUGGAAGGGCCAUCGCUCAACGGAUAAAAGGUACUCCGGGGAUAACAGGCUGAUACCGCCCAAGAGUUCAUAUCGACGGCGGUGUUUGGCACCUCGAUGUCGGCUCAUCACAUCCUGGGGCUGAAGUAGGUCCCAAGGGUAUGGCUGUUCGCCAUUUAAAGUGGUACGCGAGCUGGGUUUAGAACGUCGUGAGACAGUUCGGUCCCUAUCUGCCGUGGGCGCUGGAGAAUUGAGGGGGGCUGCUCCUAGUACGAGAGGACCGGAGUGGACGCAUCACUGGUGUUCGGGUUGUCAUGCCAAUGGCACUGCCCGGUAGCUAAAUGCGGAAGAGAUAAGUGCUGAAAGCAUCUAAGCACGAA